rnacentral:rRNA from 1 species
UACGGAGGGUGCAAGCGUUGUUCGGAAUUACUGGGCGUAAAGCGCGUGUAGGCGGUUGAGCAAGUCAGAUGUGAAAUCCUUCCGCUUAACGGGAGAAGUGCAUUUGAUACUACUCGGCUAGAGUUCGGGAGAGGAGAGUGGAAUUCCCGGUGUAGAGGUGAAAUUCGUAGAUAUCGGGAGGAACACCGGUGGCGAAGGCGGCUCUCUGGCCCGGUACUGACGCUGAGACGCGAAAGCGUGGGGAGCAAAC